AAGCGGCCGUGACAGCGACAUCUCUUAUCAACGGCUCAUUCCCACUCUAGCAGCGACAUCUCAUUCCCGUUCCUACAAUAGCAUUUCCAACAAGGGUGAAGAUUCCUUAAGUAUUUCCAGAGCACCAUUGAACCUUGGAGGUGAUCUAGAAGUG